rnacentral:lncRNA from 1 species
UGAGCAGGUGAACAGUCCUGCAUGGCAGAAUUGCCUGUGGUAUCUCAUCAGGAGGGUGUUUUCAGAGUGUUCUGUGAUUCUUGAGUUGUAAAUACAGUUUAUGCAACAUCACUAACCUGAUAUGAAGGUGGAAGAUUCAUCCAGCUUGACGGAAAUGGGGAAAAGGAGACAGGCAGGAUGAUGACCACCCAAGCAGCCUUCUCCACCCUCCCCCAGUGAAAUCCUGAUGAGAGACCUGGAUGGAUGUCAUAUUAAAUCUGGCAAUGUUUAGGCUUCUCUUGUCACCGUUCUCAAGUGAAAACAGUACAUGAUAUCACUGGAUCAAGCUGGUUACUCCCUGCCUGUAAUGGAGCAUGACAGCCAAGUUCCACCUGUGCCUUUUUUCACCAUGAUGUUUGGCCAGUGGCCGAAGCUGCUUGGCUACUUGGCUGUAUAAGAAGGAAACUAAACUGUAACUGAGAUGAUUAAUCUGAUUCUAUACUCACAACAGGCAGACCUUUGAAGGGCUUUGGGACACAAAGAGUAGAGACUGUAAUGGUUGGUAGCACUUUUUUUUUAGGCUCUGAAGAAGAAAUUAACCAAUGAACUUGGGUCCAUUGAUCUGGCAUUAUUAGUAUUUGGAAAAUAAAAUGGUAGCUCUAUCUGCAUUGGCCAUCAAGUCGCAUGGCCACAGUUUAUUACUGGGCUGUUCAUUACUCAUCAUACUCUCCUUUCCAGAGAAGAUCCCUCGAACAUAGAUGCUCCAUAUAAUACGUUCACACUGAUUCACAAAAAGUGAGCAGCCAUUCACUUUUGCACGUGAAACCACUCCAAGAGGAAGCAGGGCACCAUCAUCCCCAUUGGCUGACAGGGAAACUGAGGAUGAAAACAUUAGGCAGUUGGCCUAUUCCAUACAGCAAAUGAAUGGCUGCCCCAGUCCUUGAAUCCAUACCAGCUAACAGAGUACAUG